AACUUCGGUCCCUGUUGGUCGGUCCGCCUUCUUGGUGUGUACUUACUCAACGGGGACUUACCUCCUGGUGAGCUGCGAUGUCCUUUACUGGGUGUCGUAGGGAACCAGGACGUUUACUUUGAAAAAAUUAGAGUGUUCAAAGCAGGCCUACGCCCGAAUACAUUAGCAUGGAAUAAUAGAAUAGGACGCGCGUUCCCAUUUUGUUGGUUUCUGAGAUCGCCGUAAUGAUUAAUAGGGAUAGUUGGGGGCAUUUGUAUUCCGGCGUCAGAGGUGAAAUUCUUGGAUUGCCGGAAGACAAACUACUGCGAAAGCAUUUGCCAAGGAUGUUUUCAUUGAUCAAGAACGAAGGAAGGGGGAUCGAAAACGAUCAGAUACCGUUGUAGUCUCUUCUGUAAACUAUGCCAAUUGGGGAUUAGCGCAGGAUUUUUAAUGACUGCGUUAGCACCCGAAGAGAAAUCUUUAAAUGAGGUUCGGGGGGGAGUAUGGUCGCAAGGCUGAAACUUAAAGG
rnacentral:rRNA from 1 species